GAUGAACGCUAGCGGCAGGCCUAAUACAUGCAAGUCGAGGGGCAGCGCGGUAGCAAUACUGGCGGCGACCGGCGCACGGGUGCGUAACACGUAUGCAACCUACCUUCAACUGGAGGAUAGCCCGGGGAAACUCGGAUUAAUACUCCAUAACACAGGGAUCCCGCAUGGGAAUAUUGUUAAAGCUACGGCGGUUGAAGAUGGGCAUGCGUUCGAUUAGAUAGUUGGCGGGUAACGGCCCACCAAGUCUACGAUCAGUAGCUGAUGUGAGAGCAUGAUCAGCCACACGGGCACUGAGACACGGGCCCGACUCCUACGGGAGGCAGCAGUAAGGAAUAUUGGUCAAUGGACGCAAGUCUGAACCAGCCAUGCCGCGUGAAGGAUUAAGGUCCUCUGGAUUGUAAACUUCUUUUAUCUGGGACGAAAAAAGGCGAUUCUUCGUCACUUGACGGUACCAGAUGAAUAAGCACCGGCUAACUCCGUGCCAGCAGCCGCGGUAAUC
rnacentral:rRNA from 1 species